rnacentral:rRNA from 1 species
GAUGAACGCUAGCGGCAGGCCUAAUACAUGCAAGUCGAACGGUGUCUUCGGACAUAGUGGCGCACGGGUGCGUAACACGUAUGCAACCUACCUUACAUUGGGGGAUAGCCUUUCGAAAGGGAGAUUAAUACCGCAUAAGACAGUAGCUGGGCAUCCAGCAGCUGCUAAAGAUUCAUCGAUGUAUGCUGGGCAUGCGUCCAAUUAGCUAGUUGGUGAGGUAACGGCUCACCAAGGCAAUGAUUGGUAGGGGAACUGAGAGGUCAAUCCCCCACACUGGCACUGAGAUACGGGCCAGACUCCUACGGGAGGCAGCAGUAGGGAAUAUUGGGCAAUGGACGCAAGUCUGACCCAGCCAUGCCGCGUGCAGGAUGAAGGCGUUAUGCGUUGUAAACUGCUUUUAUACAGGAAGAAACGACUCUUGCGAGAGGCAUUGACGGUACUGUAUGAAUAAGCACCGGCUAACUCCGUGCCAGCAGCCGCAGUAACAC